UUUCAACAGGAAAGAUAACUUCUUUUCUAGUGACAGGAACGAAAACUCUGUCCUCCUGUUGAAACAAUAAUUAUGUUGAGACGCGAUUAUAAUUGUGACUGCACACAUUAUUUGAAGCGUGAAGGAAAUAUUAUCUUGAGCGUGGAGAAAUAUUAUUUGAAGCGUGGAGAAAUAUUAUUUGAAGCGUGACGGAAAACAAGCGUCGAUGCGAGGGAGAUCGUCACGUGAAAAGGCCAUGUGCGCUGUUCGAUCAUGUAAACGAAGUGGAAGACAGAAAGUCCAACGUUAACUAGGCUAUAAGCGAUUCAAAGAGAAUUCAGAUAGGAAAUGGAACUAUUGAACAAUAAAUUCUGCCUGGAAGCAAGAAUUGGGGCAAACAGUGCAAGGGAUACCCGCUGCUCUAUUUCAAAAGUUAUUGGGAAUUUGUGAUAGAAGAUUGUGCAGAUCUGGACAAAAAUUCAAUGUGAAUAACUUUGAAGAAAGAAGUCUUGGCAAAUUUCAGAGAAUUUUUGAUGGAAGAAUAUGUGUUGUUCCUGAACAUUUUGCACAUGAAAGAACAAGGUACGGUUUCAAUACAAAUUUUGCCCUGUGUUUUUCUUAAAAAUGAAAGUAUUGUAAAAAAUUAAAACUCAUGAUUUCUGAAUCAUUGAAAUUACACGCAGAAAGAUCAUACAAAUCAUUUUUCUCACAUGACCUUCUAAAUGCUAAUUGUGACGUCAUAAACUAGUGCAUUUUCCCGUAUUUUCUUGAAAAGUUGCAGAAGACACCAAUUUUCAAUGGAAUUUUCUCUCAGAUGAUAUUGUCCACAGGCAUCGCCCACAAAGAUUUUGAGAUAUGUGAUUUUUCAAAGAAUUUUACACAACAUAUCCGAAAAUAAACGUGGGCGACGGCUGUGGACACUAUUUUCUUAAGGAAAAUAACCCUUGAAAUGGGUCAUUUUGAGGCUUUUUCUGUUUAAAAUAGAGAAAUGCAUCAAAUUAAUGACGUCAUAUUUCCAGAAUGGUACUCUUUCAUGCUAUAUUCUUUCCUGUUUUAUCACUCUCAUAUACUCAACAAAUGUUUAAGCCAGUUUCAAAACUUUUUGAAAGUAUUAAAUUUUUAGGGCACAAUAAAGCUAAAACCGUACCUUCUUCUUUGUCCUUUUGACAUCAUUUGACACUAAUUUGAAGUGAUGCAUUUUUGAUAAAUUUGUACAUGUAUAUGAAAUACUCCAUUUAAAGUGUCACAUCUGUGUCUCAAGUUACUGCUGAUAAAGUGGGAUCUGCAUGAGUGAACAAACUUGAAUUUCUGCAUUUAUAUUGAUUGCAUUUAUGAAAUUUGUAUUUAUAUUUACCAAAGUACCAAAGAAUGUAUUAAAAUUAUAUGAAAAUGGA